CCUACGGGAGGCAGCAGUGAGGAAUAUUGGUCAAUGGCCGGAAGGCUGAACCAGCCAAGCCGCGUGAAGGACGAAGGUGCCAAGCAUUGUAAACUUCUUUUGUCAAGGGACAAAAUCAGGCUCGAGAGCCUGACCGAGGGUACUUGAAGAACAAGCAUCGGCUAACUCCGUGCCAGCAGCCGCGGUAAUACGGAGGAUGCGAGCGUUAUCCGGAUUGAGUGGGUUGAAAGGGUGCGGAGGCGGGCUGUUAAGUCAGCGGUAAAAGCCCGGGGCUCAACCCCGGCGAGCCGUUGAAACUGGCAGUUUAGAGAUGUCGAGAGGUAUGCGGAAUGCGCAGUGGAGCGGUGAAAUGCUGAGAUAUGGAGCAGAACUCCGAUUGCGAAGGCAGCAUACCGGCGGCGAUCUGACGCUGAGGCACGAAAGCGUGGGGAGCGAACAGGAAUAGAUACUUGUAGUC
rnacentral:rRNA from 1 species